rnacentral:rRNA from 1 species
UACGGAGGUGCAAACGGUUGCUCGGAAUCAUUGGGCGUAAAGCGCACGUAGGCGGUCCAGCAAGUCGGGUGUGAAAGCCCUCGGCUUAAACCGAGGAAGUGCAUUCGAAACUACUGGGCUUGAGUACUGAAGAGGAUCGCGGAAAUUCCCGGUGUAGAGGUGAAAUUCGUAGAUAUCGGGAGGAACACCAGUGGCGAAGGCGGACGAUCUGGGCAGAUACGUGACGCUGAGGUGCGAAAGCG